AGUCGAGCGGCAGCGCGGGGGCAACCCUGGCGGCGAGCGGCGAACGGGUGAGUAACAUAUCGGAACGUACCCCGUCGUGGGGGAUAACACAGCGAAAGCUGUGCUAAUACCGCAUACGACCUGAGGGUGAAAGCGGGGGACCGCAAGGCCUCGCGCGAUGGGAGCGGCCGAUAUCGGAUUAGCUUGUUGGUGAGGUAAAGGCUCACCAAGGCGACGAUCCGUAGCUGGUCUGAGAGGACGACCAGCCACACUGGAACUGAGACACGGUCCAGACUCCUACGGGAGGCAGCAGUGGGGAAUUUUGGACAAUGGGGGCAACCCUGAUCCAGCAAUGCCGCGUGAGUGAAGAAGGCCUUCGGGUUGUAAAGCUCUUUUGUCAGGGAAGAAACGGUGAGCGCUAAUACCGCUUGCUAAUGACGGUACCUGAAGAAUAAGCACCGGCUAACUACGUGCCAGCAGCCGCGGUAAUACGUAGGGUGCGAGCGUUAAUCGGAAUUACUGGGCGUAAAGCGUGCGCAGGCGGUUAUGCAAGACAGAUGUGAAAUACCCGGGCUUAACCUGGGAAUGGCAUUUGUGACUGCAUGGCUAGAGUGUGUCAGAGGGGGGUAGAAUUCCACGUGUAGCAGUGAAAUGCGUAGAGAUGUGGAGGAAUACCGAUGGCGAAGGCAGCCCCCUGG
rnacentral:rRNA from 1 species